rnacentral:piRNA from 1 species
UGACUCUAGCUUGUAUCAGGUUGACAUAA